GACGAACGCUGGCGGCGUGCUUAACACAUGCAAGUCGAACGGAAAGGCCCUGCUUUUGUGGGGUGCUCGAGUGGCGAACGGGUGAGUAACACGUGAGUAACCUGCCCUUGACUUUGGGAUAACUUCAGGAAACUGGGGCUAAUACCGGAUAGGAGCUCCUGCUGCAUGGUGGGGGUUGGAAAGUUUCGGCGGUUGGGGAUGGACUCGCGGCUUAUCAGCUUGUUGGUGGGGUAGUGGCUUACCAAGGCUUUGACGGGUAGCCGGCCUGAGAGGGUGACCGGUCACAUUGGGACUGAGAUACGGCCCAGACUCCUACGGGAGGCAGCAGUGGGGAAUAUUGCACAAUGGGCGGAAGCCUGAUGCAGCAACGCCGCGUGCGGGAUGACGGCCUUCGGGUUGUAAACCGCUUUCGCCUGUGACGAAGCGUGAGUGACGGUAAUGGGGAAAGAAGCACCGGCUAACUACGU
rnacentral:rRNA from 1 species